AGUCGAGCGAACAGACGAGGAGCUUGCUCCUCUGACGUUAGCGGCGGACGGGUGAGUAACACGUGGAUAACCUACCUAUAAGACUGGGAUAACUUCGGGAAACCGGAGCUAAUACCGGAUAAUAUAUUGAACCGCAUGGUUCAAUAGUGAAAGACGGUUUUGCUGUCACUUGUAGAUGGAUCCGCGCCGCAUUAGCUAGUUGGUAAGGUAACGGCUUACCAAGGCAACGAUGCGUAGCCGACCUGAGAGGGUGAUCGGCCACACUGGAACUGAGACACGGUCCAGACUCCUACGGGAGGCAGCAGUAGGGAAUCUUCCGCAAUGGGCGAAAGCCUGACGGAGCAACGCCGCGUGAGUGAUGAAGGUCUUCGGAUCGUAAAACUCUGUUAUUAGGGAAGAACAAAUGUGUAAGUAACUAUGCACGUCUUGACGGUACCUAAUCAGAAAGCCACGGCUAACUACGUGCCAGCAGCCGCGGUAAUACGUAGGUGGCAAGCGUUAUCCGGAAUUAUUGGGCGUAAAGCGCGCGUAGGCGGUUUUUUAAGUCUGAUGUGAAAGCCCACGGCUCAACCGUGGAGGGUCAUUGGAAACUGGAAAACUUGAGUGCAGAGGAGGAAAGUGGAAUUCCAUGUGUAGCGGUGAAAUGCGCAGAGAUAUGGAGGAACACCAGUGGCGAAGGCGACUUUCUGGUCUGUA
rnacentral:rRNA from 1 species